rnacentral:rRNA from 1 species
CACGUAGGCGGGUUGUUAAGUCAGGGGUGAAAUCCCGGAGCUCAACUCCGGAACUGCCUUUGAUACUGGCAAUCUAGAGACCGGAAGAGGUUAGUGGAAUUCCCAGUGUAGAGGUGAAAUUCGUAGAUAUUGGGAAGAACACCAGUGGCGAAGGCGGCUAACUGGUCCAGUACUGACGCUGAGGUGCGAAAGCGUGGGGAGCAAACA